AUUGAACGCUGGCGGCAUGCCUUACACAUGCAAGUCGAACGGCAGCACGGGGGCAACCCUGGUGGCGAGUGGCGAACGGGUGAGUAAUACAUCGGAACGUAUCCUGUAGCGGGGGAUAACCUCUCGAAAGAGAGGCUAAUACCGCAUACGACCUACGGGUGAAAGAGGGGGAUCGCAAGACCUCUCACUAUAGGAGCGGCCGAUGUCGGAUUAGCUAGUUGGUGGGGUAAAGCCUACCAAGGCUACGAUCCGUAGCUGGUCUGAGAGGACGACCAGCCACACUGGAACUGAGACACGGUCCAGACUCCUACGGGAGGCAGCAGUGGGGAAUUUUGGACAAUGGCGCAAGCCUGAUCCAGCCAUGCCGCGUGGGUGAAGAA
rnacentral:rRNA from 1 species